AUGAUCAACACCUUCGUCACCGGAGAAGAUGAAGUGGUUGGUGGUCCGGUGGAACCCUACCAGAAAAAACCUAAAACCAAAAACGCUCAACAUAAGCACCCCCCAACUUUAAACCCUGAUCACGGAUUCAAACUCAGAUUAACCAAAAACCUCACUGAGUAUUCUAGAUCGGAUUUUGAAACCCCAAAAACCUCACUAAGUGUUCUAGAUCGGGUUUUGAAAUCCCAAAAUCCUAAUUCAAACGAAAUCAAAAAUAAACCACAACAACAACGCGUUUGA